rnacentral:lncRNA from 1 species
AGGCAUUUAAGAGUGGUUUUCUACAGGGGUAGACGUUUUCUUAGUGUAGACGGAUGUUUUCUAAAAGAGAAUAUGACAAUAGUUGUAUAUACCCAAUUAUAUAUGCAAUAAUUGAGGAAGAGAAAACUAGUUCGUGGCUAUGGUUUUUGAUGAUGAUGUCUGAAAUUUCGAAUUAUUUCUUUCAAAUAUAAAUUUUAAAUGUGUCUUAU